rnacentral:misc_RNA from 1 species
GAUGAAGAACGUAGCGAAAUGCGAUACGUAAUGUGAAUUGCAAAUUCAGUGAAUCAUCGAGUCUUUGAACGCACAUUGCGCCCCCUGGUAUUCCGGGGGGCAUGCCUGUCCGAGCGUCAUUGCUGCCCUCAAGCACGGCUUGUGUGUUGGGCCCCGUCCUCCGAUCCCGGGGGACGGGCCCGAAAGGCAGCGGCGGCACCGCGUCCGAUCCUCGAGCGUAUGGGGCUUUGUCACCCGCUCUGUAGGCCCGGCCGGCGCUUGCCGAUCAACCCAAAUUUUUAUCCAGGUUGACCUCGGAUCAGGUAGGGAUACCCGCUGAACUUAAGCAUAUCAAUAAGCGGAGGA